rnacentral:rRNA from 1 species
AGCGAACGCUGGCGGCAGGCUUAACACAUGCAAGUCGAGCGGGCACCUUCGGGUGUCAGCGGCAGACGGGUGAGUAACACGUGGGAACGUACCCUUCGGUUCGGAAUAACGCUGGGAAACUAGCGCUAAUACCGGAUACGCCCUUAUGGGGAAAGGUUUACUGCCGAAGGAUCGGCCCGCGUCUGAUUCGCUAGUUGGUGGGGUAACGGCCUACCAAGGCGACGAUCAGUAGCUGGUCUGAGAGGAUGAUCAGCCACACUGGGACUGAGACACGGCCCAGAAUCCUACGGGAGGCAGCAGUGGGGAAUAUUGGACAAUGGGCGCAAGCCUGAUCCGGCCAUGCCGCGUGAGUGAUGAAGGCCUUAGGGUUGUAAAGCUCUUUUGUCCGGGACGAUAAUGACGGUACCGGAAGAAUAAGCCCCGGCUAACUUCGUG